rnacentral:lncRNA from 1 species
AUAAAGGAUGAAAAGGUUUGCAAUUUGCAAAACUUGCAAAAACUGAGAAAUGCAAAUCUUAAGGAAUGAUUGACAGUAGCAUGUGACCAAGGGUCACAUGAGAGCCUGAGCCUUGGGAUCUGGCAAGAUUCUAUGCCCAACAGCUUCUUCUCAGAGUCUGCUCUCCUGGAAGGACCUUGAAGAGGAUUUUGCCUGUGAUCAAUGGAGGAAGGAGUUUUUCUGGAUCUGGCUAAUGGCAGCAUCAGUCUGGACUUACUUGGACAUCUAACAACAUAAGAUCCUGGCCCUAUUAGAUUUGGAUUCCUGGAGAAUACGGAGCCAAAACCUCCAUAAGUUAUUCACCCUUCUUGGAUCUGUCCUCUCUAAGUCUCACCAUUGCAUGGCACCUCUACCUCUCCAGUCAUCUCUUAUGUCUUCAGCUGCAUCUCCUGCAGAGAUCAGACUGAGGUCAGACUAACAAUUCUUCAACCCAAUGUAAAGGAGAAGAGAGAACAGACCUGGAAUUGCUCCGUCAGCAUCAAGCACCCCAACUUCAACUUUAAAAAAUUAGACAACAACAUCAUACUAAUUGAGCUAAAUAAGCCUGCCAAUCUCAGUAAACAGCAGUGACCCUGAUAUUCUAAGCUGGUGAACCAUGCAUGACAUUCUCUCUGAUGAAGAAUACGCUAAGAUACUUCUGGGGGAAAAAAAAUGUCAGGAAAUAAAAUGCAUGUGGGACUCCA